GGAGAGUUGGAAGAACUCCAGGGUUAAGCGUGCUCGCUUAACGGAAAUCCUAGGAUGGGUGACCUCCUGGGAAGUUUCCCAUUUCCCCCAAGAAUAAAACCGUGCGGGCCGUAGGGCCCAGAGCGGAUAAUAUCACACAUGGGCUGGGCCAUUACAAUUGGUAUCAGAGCUGAAGCCUCGCUCCUUUGACCGGUGGUGGGGCAAACCUCAGCGAGGACGCUGAGUCCCUAAGGGGGGGUGAGCGGUGGCUGUGAGCGGUGGCUGN
rnacentral:lncRNA from 1 species